rnacentral:rRNA from 1 species
AUUGAACGCUGGCGGCAUGCUUUACACAUGCAAGUCGAACGGUAACGGGCCUUCGGGUGCUGACGAGUGGCGAACGGGUGAGUAAUGCAUCGGAACGUGCCCAGAGGUGGGGGAUAACGCAGCGAAAGCUGUGCUAAUACCGCAUGUGAUCUGAGGAUGAAAGCGGGGGACCAGGCAGCAAUGUUUGGCCUCGCGCCUUUGGAGCGGCCGAUGUCAGAUUAGGUAGUUGGUGGGGUAAAGGCCUACCAAGCCGACGAUCUGUAGCUGGUCUGAGAGGACGACCAGCCACACUGGGACUGAGACACGGCCCAGACUCCUACGGGAGGCAGCAGUGGGGAAUUUUGGACAAUGGGCGCAAGCCUGAUCCAGCAAUGCCGCGUGCGGGAAGAAGGCCUUCGGGUUGUAAACCGCUUUUGUACGGAACGAAAAGGCUCUGGCUAAUACCUGGGGCUGAUGACGGUACCGUAAGAAUAAGCACCGGCUAACUACGUG